AUGCUCACUUCAGCAGCCCAUAUACUAAAAUUGGAAUGAUACAGAGAUUACCAUGGCCCCUGCACAAGGAUGACACACAAAUCUGUGAAGCAUUCCAUAUUUUG